rnacentral:rRNA from 1 species
UGGGGAAUUUUUCGCAAUGGGGGAAACCCUGACGAAGCAACGCCGCGUGGAGGAUGAAGGCCUUCGGGUCGUAAACUCCUGUCGACCGGGACGAACGCUAUUGGGCCCAAUACGCCCGAUAGUCGACUGUACCGGUGGAGGAAGCCACGGCUAACUCUGUGCCAGCAGCCGCGGUAAUACAGAGGUGGCAAGCGUUGUUCGGAAUUACUGGGCGUAAAGGGCUCGUAGGCGGCCAACUAAGUCAGACGUGAAAUCCCUCGGCUUAACCGGGGAACUGCGUCUGAUACUGGAUGGCUUGAAUCCGGGAGAGGGAUGCGGAAUUCCAGGUGUAGCGGUGAAAUGCGUAGAUAUCUGGAGGAACACCGGUGGCGAAGGCGGCAUCCUGGACCGGCAUUGACGCUGAGGAGCGAAAGCCAGGGGAGCAAACGGGAUUAGAUACCCCCGUAGUCCCUGAGCGGGCUGGCAAGGCGCAU